rnacentral:lncRNA from 1 species
ACGGAGAAGCAAUAAUUCUGUCACCAUGUGUUGUGGAAAGCAAUGAAACACUCACGUCACUGCAAUGUGAUAACUUUUGAUCAACCAAUCAAGCAAUAACUAUAUAUUAAAUAUGAUGAAAUGAAAUAAACUUGAAACGAUUGUCCUUUCAUCCAUUAUAGGUACUACUUAAGGUAGACGUACCAACUCAUGAUGAUGAUGAUGAUGAUCUCAUUUCUAGCUUCACCAAUCUACCGUGAAUCAUGGCAUUCAAAGUAGUUAAGCUAAAGGUAAUAAUAAUUCAACCAAACACAUAACCGCAAAGAAAAUCCAAAUUUAUAAGAUCUGUCAUAUUGCGAAUAUGGGUUACAUACAGCAAAUGAAAGAUGAGCAACUAUAAUACAUUUUAGAUUAGUGGGCGACAUUAGGACCUGUAUACAUGUUGGAUCAUAUGACCUGUGGAGAUGGCUCAUUAAUUUAGGGUGACAAAAGGGGUUGGUCCUAUUAAUUGGAUGUAUUCAAAUCCCCGUGAGAGCAGCAUCUGCAAAUCCAUCCGAAUUCUUGUGUGGAGAUGACACAGCCAUGAAUACUCUUGCUUUGGCUCUUAGUUAGGACCUUGCCAGUGAAAAAUGUGGAUGCCCUUUUUCACACUUGGUAGAUCCUUAGCAUAUUUGGGAAAACAUAACCCUAAUUUUCUUCAGGCAAAGCAACACGACAUCUCUUGGUUAAAUCAUCUUGCUUUAUGCAUUUUGUUCCUUAUUUGAUACAUAUAUAAAAGCUUCACCUAACCCAUAAGAUUUCAAAUAAUUGCUCCAAAGCUAGCAAGUAAGAGUGAGAGCUCGAUAUGAGAAAAGGAAAGGCAACAACACAAAACCUUGUGGUCCAUGCAGAACAAACCUUACCUUACCAUGUGUUUUGGGUUUCAUAGCUCUCAAUACUUGUGUAAAAGGAAAAACCAAUAAGAGAAAGCCUAGCUAUAUCAACUGAACGUACCUUAUUACACUCAACAAGUGAAAUAAUGGUAUGUAGCAAGAGACGGCAUGGCAGAUGAGAAACGGAUGCAAAGUAAUGAGGCUGCAAUGACUUAGUGAAAGUCACUCACGAAUGAGGCAGAUAUGAUAAAACGAUGUUUGACCCUAAUUGAAUCUCAGAAAUCUCAUGUAUAUAAAAAUGACUCGACUAUCUGAACGAUCUGUCACGUUAUCGAACGACACUAGUGUAUAGAUGUACAGAUCGAUAGGCACAUUGUAUCAUAUUUAGGAUGUUAAGAGUUUAAUCAGCUCUUAUGUUUUGAUGCAAAUUUAAGAAAAUAUAAACAUUCAUGUGCGCACACUGUAAAGAAUGCCUAAUUAAAUGAAGAACAUUAUCAUUAUAAACAAAAUAAUGAAAAGACAAGAAUCUAAUCUCUGCUGGCAUUAAUAAACAAUGUCAAACGUUAAAUACUGCUGAAUGAAUCAUAAAGUACAGAUGGAUCAGAGAGAACUACUUAUCCAGAAUGUUCUCUGAAGCAUCGAUCAGAAGGAGGGUGAAGAUUUCUCCCCAGAGGAACUGCAUGUGGAUGCAUUGUCACCGCUGAUACAACUCACAGAAAAAAAAAAUAUCAUCAAGUGCUACAAUAAUCUCACUAAUAAAAAUAUUUAAUUUGUAAUAUUGUAUUAUUAUAUAUGGAUCAUCACAUACAGAUCAGAUAGAGAAAUCAGAUCUCCAUGUAAUCCGAAACGCAAAGCUUGUAAAAGCCCCUUAUGAAGUAUUAGGGUUGAGAUAAUUUUUCAUUAUGGCAUGGUUUAGAAAAACACCCAUCAUCCACCACCUACUUCAAAAUCAUGAAAGACUGAAUUUUUAUGGGUACUGAGAAACAAAUCAAGUGACAAUUGUGCAAAGUGAGACAAAAUUUGAGUGAUUUAAAAUGUCUUUGUAAAUUGUAAGUUUAGGCUUCAUACCAAGAUAUAAAUAUAUAUAUGUGUGAUGCUGAAGAUCGGAUAGUGAUUUUUUAUUGAACCUAUCUGUAUCUUCCCACAGCUUUAUUGAACCGCAAGCCAGUUAGAGAGAGAGAGAGAGUGAGUGAGUGAGUGACUGCAGCCUCACAUGCAAAGAUCGAUCGAUCUCAUGGAUGCAGUUCAAGAAAGCUGUGGAAGAAUACAAAGAGGAUCAUCGUCUAUGGAGGAAAUGGAGAGAGAGGGAGAGAGAGAGAGAGAAAGAGAGAGUCACCAAAGCCACACCACACAUAGAGAGAUAAGAUGCUUAGAAGCUUCAACCAAUCAGAGCUCUAAUCUGAGAUGAGGCAGAAUUGUCAAAAAGCAGAGAUAACAACAAAAACAAAAAAAAAACCCAAAAAGGGAGUUGCAGAAGAAAGCAGGAAGGGUUCCUAGCCCUGUUUAGGCAGAAGAGGAGGAGGUUAGAGGUGUAGGUUUAGGAGAGGGGAGAUGUUGAUAUUUAUAGUAAAACUUGAGGGUUUUUCUUUCUUUUUUUUUUCUUUUUACCAUCAAUCCCAAGAAGAAUAUUGGGCCUGAGAUUUCAGUCACAGAACACCCC